GUGUGGUUACAUAAGAAAAUGUGUAUAACUGCACCUGCACACCGGAGCUGAACAGUUUGAGACAAACCGUCGACUAAAAUGAUCAUCUUGAAGGCAUUCAAGGACCUGACGCUGAUGAAAAAUAUUCUUUAUCAAGAGUUACCCCAGUCCAUUAGUGUUCUUGGUGGAUUGCAUCAUAUUCUGCAAAACAAUGUGUUUCAACUAAAGAUGUGCGUCGACUCCUGGCCUACGUUCAGCACCGCCAUCUGCUACCGUCCAAAUAAGAUUAGGGGCAGUUUCAAGGAAAUCAGUGAGAAAUACACGAUUUUCACCAAAAGCCAAAACUCUUUAAGACGUCUGCUGACUGAUGACAAACUUCAAAUCAAGUGGAGGAACGGACUUGAAUUUGAAGUUUCAAAUAAUCACUCUCAAAUCAUCCGUGAAAUUGCAUCUCUCAGAGGAUUCCAUGUUAAGGAACAUGGAGGUCACCAUUCCUACAUCAACUACAACCCAGAGAAGUUGAACAUAUCGGAAAAGACAUCCACGCUAGCAACAUCUACUUUGAAUGAGUCCCAUGUGGACCUUGUGGUCCAACAGUUAUCUUUUGGAGGAAAGAAAGAGAACUUCAAUCGAAUAGAAGCCUAUAUCAAACAUCUGCCAAACUGCUGUGUGGUGGAUGAGAAGGGACAUCCCGUGUCUUGGCUGCUGACUGAUGAGUUCAAUGGCCUCAGAAUGGCUUACACUCAACCAAAGUACAGACGAAAAGGUCACUUUCAAGAUAUAAUGCAUACGCUGAUCCGGCAAAGAAUAUCGGAAGGUUUGCCCGUCUACUGCUAUCUCCAUAAAGACAACAUGGCCUCUAUUGGAAUCGCGAAUAAGGCUGGCCUCACCCGUGGUGAGGAGACAACCUCACGUUCAGCACGACCAUCUGCUACUAUCAAAAUCAGAUUGGGAGUAAUUUCAAGGAAAUCAUUGAGAAAUACAGCAUCUUCUCAAAAAACCAAAACUCUUUAAGAAAUCUGCUGACAACAACAUGAGUACAUCUGAAAAGGAAAUGAUCACCCAAAAAUGUGUCUUUGUUUGGAAACCACAGAUCUUGGAAUAAAAAUAAAAAUGUCCUUUUCAGAUUGCAUUCUUUCAAUUUCCAUCCACUGUUUGUCCUUUACAAGGCCAAAGAGGAUUCUGUGCCCGUUCCAAAGGUUUGACGACCACUUGGGCUUUUAGUUCAAUUGAAACACAAUUUUGUCUUUGGAAAAACCUGUGUUUUUUUUUUUUUUUUUUAUUCUGUCAUCUUUUUAAAACAAUGGUCACACUUGAUCAGGACAUGGAUGAUUGACAAUACAGCAACAGGUGUGCUAGGGUAUGCAUCUAAGGGUUAAAAAGAAUUUUCCAGGGUGUGGUUACAUAAGAAAAUGUGUAUAACUGCACCUGCACACCGGAGCUGAACAGUUUGAGACAAACCGUCGACUAAAAUGAUCAUCUUGAAGGCAUUCAAGGACCUGACGCUGAUGAAAAAUAUUCUUUAUCAAGAGUUACCCCAGUCCAUUAGUGUAAUGUUCUUGGUGGAUUGCAUCAUAUGCUGCAAAACAAUGUGUUUCAACUAAAGAUGUGCGUCGACUCCUGGCCUACGUUCAGCACGACCAUCUGCUACUAUCAAAAUCAGAUUGGGAGUAAUUUCAAGGAAAUCAUUGAGAAAUACAGCAUCUUCUCAAAAAACCAAAACUCUUUAAGAAAUCUGCUGACUGAUGACAAACUCAUCAAGUGGAGAGACGGACUUGAAUUCGAAGUUGCAAAUCAUCACUCUCAAAUCGUCCGUGAAAUUGCUUCUCUCAGAGGAUUCCAUGUUGAGGAAGAUGGUUACUAUUUCUACAUCAACUACAGCCCAGAGAAGUUGAUCAUGUCGGAGAAGACGUCCACGCUAGCAACAUCUACUUUGAAUGAGUCCCAUGCAGAGCUUGUGGUCCAACAGUUGCCUUAUGCAGGAAGCAACGAGAUCAAUCGAGUGAAAGCAUAUAUCCGACAUCUGCCAAACCGCUGUGUGGUGGAUGAGAAGGGACAUCCCGUGUCUUGGGUGCUGACUAAUGAGUUCAAUGAGCUCGCAAUGGGCUACUCUCACCCAAAAUACAGACGUAAAGGUCACAAUGGCCAUUUGCUGUUUACUUUGGUCCGACAAAAAAUGUCUGAAGGUUUGCCCGUCUUCUGCCAAAUCCAUAAAGACAACGCGACCCCUAUUAGGAUGCUGAGUAAGGCUGGCUUCACCCGUGGUGUGGAGACGACCUAUCUGGUGGUGAAGGCUAAGGGGUAAACUUGCAAAUAAAACUAUUUGCUUUGAAACCAUAGACCCUGAAUUAAUAUAUCUUUAUAACAACAUCAAUAGAUGACCUUGAUACUAGGUCUACAUUUUUGGGCCUCAUCAUGAAUAUUAAAAUAUUCUUCUAAUGAGAAAGAGCAGCAGUGUUGAAAAUAGCACAAGAAGAUUUAUCUUUCCAAAGCUACAGAGAGAAAAUCUGGAGAAGACAAAUUUAGGUGUUGUAAUUCGUCAAUUAAAGCCAAUAUAUUUUCCAAGUCAGGACUGACUACCCCCGAUUCAAAUAUAGUUCUUAGUGAUAAAUUCAAUAAAAUGGUACUUUGCAGUUAAACACUGGAUGUAAUGCACUCCUGAAAAAUUAAAGCCAGAACAAAAAUGUCAGUUCAACAUUCAUCUCAGCGACCAAAUAUGGUUAUACAAUCAAGUUAAGGUGGAAGAGAUAAAUUGGCCUAAGUGGAGCCGCUAUUCCCUGCAGUUUGAACAGUGUGAAACAAAUGUCCUGUUUGUUUCAACCCAUAAUAACAAACUAUCAGUUCCAAUUAGUGUUUGUGUAACCAUUCACCUGCAACUUCAAAGUUGUAAUCUUUAAAUAUAACCCAAUGUGGGCGGACUGAAGUCCUGCUUGUACUGUAUAUUAGCAUUUAAUGCAUGCUAUUUCUUUUAAAAUGGUAAUUUUCACAACAGAGCAAAAUGUUAAUCAGACUUGUAACCAUAGAUACAUUGGGGAUCUUGUGAUGAAAGUUGCAGAGGCUCUUUAAAUGUUUUUGACACAAUGUCAAAUAAAAUAUGCUAACUGAAUUUGGACUACAUUCUCAGUAAAUGCAAUUUUCAGUUAUUUUUGUUAUCAGUGGUUUCAACAUUCGUUUUAUACCAGGAGGAUUAUAUGAGAACAAGAUGUCCUGUGAAAAUACAUAUAAUACUAUAUUUACAAAAGGUUUCUCUCUUUUUAAGACAGAAUAUCUCUCACGGCAAUAUGUUUCUAGUUAUCGGAGAUGUGACAUCUUUGAAUAAAUGUGGGUAGGAUGAGAAUGGAGAGGAUGUCUACUUUCUAUGUAUAUGUUAUUUUCUUAAUACAGUAGAUUACCACAAAAAGCUUGUAAAAUUAUAUGCGCAAAACAUGUUGACGCUAUUGGACGAACAGAAAAGCAAAAAAUGCAUUCUGUCAGCCCACCUCAGUAGACAUCAUUUCAGUUAACAUCAAAGAAAUAACUGCUUAUGCGGCUCGCUUCUUUUUUCUUUGGCUUUUUGAAGACUGAAGAAAGAAAAAGAUGUGCGGGAGAAAUGAAGCAUAUAACCUUGAUAUUAAAGAAAUCUGUCCAA